AACGAACGCUGGCGGCGUGGAUAAGACAUGCAAGUCGAGCGGGAACUUUUUUGGUAGCAAUACCGAAAAAGUUACUAGCGGCGAACGGGUGCGUAACACGUGGACAAUCUGCCUUAAAGUGGGGGAUAGCUCGGCGAAAGCCGAAUUAAUACCGCAUGUGAUGAGAGACGACAUCGUCUUGAAAUCAAAGCCGGGGCAACCUGGCGCUUUUUGAGGAGUCCGCGGCCUAUCAGCUGUUGGUGAGGUAACGGCUCACCAAGGCUAUGACGGGUAGCUGGUCUGAGAGGACGACCAGUCACACUGGAACUGAGACACGGUCCAGACACCUACGGGUGGCAGCAGUCGAG
rnacentral:rRNA from 1 species